rnacentral:rRNA from 1 species
GACGGGGCCCGCACAAGCGGCGGAGCGUGCGGUUUAAUUCGACGCAACGCGCAGAACCUUACCAGGGCUUGACAUGCGACUGCAGAGCGGUGAAAGCCGAAGUCCUUCGAGGGUGUCGCACAGGUGCUGCAUGGCUGUCGUCAGCUCGUGUCGUGAGAUGUUGGGUUAAGUCCCGCAACGAGCGCAACCCCCGUGGCCAGUUACGUGGGUGUCUGGCCAGACUGCCGGUAGCAAGCCGGAGGAAGGCGGGGAUGACGUCAAGUCAGCAUGGCCCUUACGUCCUGGGCUACACGCACGCUACAAUGGGGCGGACAGAGGGUAGCCAAGCCGCGAGGUGGAGCGAAUCCCAAAAACCGCUUCUCAGUUCAGAUUGUGGGCUGCAACUCGCCCGCAUGAAGGCGGAGUCGCUAGUAACCGCAGGUCAGCAGUACUGCGGUGAAUACGUUCCCGGGCCUU